GACGAACGCUGGCGGCGUGCCUAAUACAUGCAAGUAGAACGCUGAAGAGAGGAGCUUGCUCUUCUUGGAUGAGUUGCGAACGGGUGAGUAACGCGUAGGUAACCUGCCUUGUAGCGGGGGAUAACUAUUGGAAACGAUAGCUAAUACCGCAUAACAAUGGAUGACACAUGUCAUUUAUUUGAAAGGGGCAAUUGCUCCACUACAAGAUGGACCUGCGUUGUAUUAGCUAGUAGGUGAGGUAAUGGCUCACCUAGGCGACGAUACAUAGCCGACCUGAGAGGGUGGUCGGCCACACUGGGACUGAGACACGGCCCAGACUCCUACGGGAGGCAGCAGUAGGGGAUCUUCGGCAAUGGGGGCAACCCUGACCGAGCAACGCCGCGUGAGGGAAGAAGGUUUUCGGAUCGUAAAGCUCUGUUGUAAGUCAAGAACGGGUGUGAGAGUGGAAAGUUCACACUGUGACGGUAGCUUACCAGAAAGGGACGGCUAACUACGUG
rnacentral:rRNA from 1 species